rnacentral:rRNA from 1 species
UACAGAGGUGGCAAGCGUUGUUCGGAAUUACUGGGCGUAAAGGGCGCGUAGGCGGCCAUCUAAGUCAGACGUGAAAUCCCCCGGCUUAACCUGGGAACUGCGUCUGAUACUGGAAGGCUUGAGUAUGGGAGAGGGAUGUAGAAUUCCAGGUGUAGCGGUGAAAAUGCGUAGAUAUCUGGAGGAAUACCGGUGGCGAAGGCGGCAUCCUGGACCGGCAUUGACGCUGAGGCGCGAAAGCCAGGGGAGCAAAGCGGG